AUUGAACGCUGGCGUCAUGCCUUCCACAUGCAAGUCGAACGGUAACAGGUCUUAGGAUGCUGACGAGUGGCGAACGGGUGAGUAAUACAUCGGAACGUGCCUAGUAGUGGGGGAUAACUACUCGAAAGAGUGGCUAAUACCGCAUGAGAUCUACGGAUGAAAGCAGGGGAUCGCAAGACCUUGUGCUACUAGAGCGGCCGAUGGCAGAUUAGGCAGUUGGUGGGAUAAAAGCUUACCAAGCCGACGAUCUGUAGCUGGUCUGAGAGGACGAUCAGCCACACUGGGACUGAGACACGGCCCAGACUCAUACGGGAGGCAGCAGUGGGGAAUGUGGGACAAUGGGGGCAAGCCUGAUCCAGCAAUGCCGCGUGCAGGAUGAAGGCCUUCGGGUUGUAAACUGCUUUUGUACGGAACGAAAAGCCCCGGCUUAAUACCCGGGGGUCAUGACGGUACCGUAAGAAUAAGCACCGGCUAACUACGUGCCAGCAGCCGCCGUAA
rnacentral:rRNA from 1 species